rnacentral:lncRNA from 1 species
AUGUCCCAAGAAAGUUCCCAUGCAAUAAAGAACAAAAUCACAAAUGAAUUAUUAAACAGGUAACUCAAUGAAAAAGAAAGAACCAGACACGGAUAUCACUUACAGAAUAAAGUUCUUUGAAGAAGAUAACCAAUCAGCAAAAGAAGCAAGUCCUGUGAUACAGCAACAGAAGAAAACUCUUCAUGAAAAAUACAGGAUUCAAGAAGAAUAAAUUUUUGUUUGAAGUUUAAUAAAAAAAAUGUAAUUGUUAUGAGACUGCUAUCUCAUUUACCCCCAUCUCAUCAAUCCAUAAUUUGUAUAUCCUAAUCUUUUUGCCCCUUAAGUUGUGUAUUUUCAUCUGUUUGAUCCUAUGUUUCCUCACAUCACAAAAAAUGAAUUUAUUUUCCAAAUUUUAAAAAAUAUAUUUUUGAUUAGCUUUAAAUUUUUUGUUUGGAAAAUAAUGUCCGUUAUAAAUCUCUUCAUCUAACAAAUGUGGUGAUAUUAGUUGGAUUUAAAGUUGAGGUAAUUCUGUACCCCAACAUAUCACAGGCUUUUAUUCAGAGGAAAAAAAAUUGAUCACAGUAUUGUAAGGCAUCAAUUAAACCAAGCCUCUGUUGGUAACAGUGGUAAAUUCUACCUCCCUAUUUACAGUUAGUUGGCACAUCUAUCAACAGAUAACAUUUGUUGGGUUUUUGUUUACAUUAAAGGCUGAAACUAUCAGUUGUAACUAUAUUGAUGUAAACAUUUAUUUUAUAUUGAUCAUUAUUUCCUUUAAAAAUCAUGAACUUGUAUUUAUUAAUUUUAAUAAAAUGCAAAUGGUCAGAGCUUCAGAAAGAGAGAGAUAUUAUAUCAGCCUGGUCAACAGCAACUGUCCAUUUAACAAA